rnacentral:rRNA from 1 species
UACGUAGGGUGCAAGCGUUGUCCGGAAUUAUUGGCGUAAAGAGCUCGUAGGCGGUCUGUCACAGUCGGGAGUGAAAACACGGGGCUUAACCCCGUGCCUGCUUCCGAUACGGGCAGACUAGAGGAUAUGCAGGGGAGAACGGAAUUCCUGGUGUAGCGGUGAAAUGCGCAGAUAUCAAGGAGGAACACCGGUGGGCGAAGGCGGUUCUCUGGGCAUUACCUGACGGUGAGGAGCGAAAGGCGUGGGGAGCAACAGG